rnacentral:rRNA from 1 species
GUGUCAGCCGCCGCGGUAAUACGUAGGUGGCAAGCGUUGUCCGGAUUUAUUGGGUUUAAAGGGUGCGUAGGCGGUCCUAUAAGUCAGUGCUGAAAUAUCCCGGCUUAACCGGGAGGGUGGCAUUGAUACUGCAGGACUUGAGUAAAGUUGAGGUUGGCGGAAUUGACGGUGUAGCGGUGAAAUGCUUAGAUAUCGUCAAGAACACCGAUAGUGAAGACAGCUAACUAAGCUUUAACUGACGCUGAGGCACGAAAGUGUGGGGAUCAAACAGGAUUAGAAACCCUGGUAGUCC